GGCUAGAUAUGAGGCUGAGUGGUAGAGUGCUUGCCUAGUGUUCAUGAGGCCUCUGGGUUCAAUCCCCAGUCUAGGAG
rnacentral:tRNA from 1 species